AUUGACGUUAUUUACAUGCUGACUGACAAAAGUAACUCAACUCGUAACAAUACCAGUUUCGUAUAACUUCAUAGUUUAUUAAUAGCAUUGAACAUGCCGAAUUUCGUGCCCGGAAAUUACGAUUUGCGUGCAGCGUUAAUUUUCUGUUACCAUUCGAAAGAAAACUGCUGCGGAAUCGCAUCGGAUGCUUGUCGAAGCGCUCACGGUGAGCAUGGUCUUGGAAAAUCACAGUGCUUUAAGUGCUUUAAAAAUUCGAACGAGACGAUUUGGACGUGAAAAACAAAGAACGUGAAAAACGAAGAACGUGAAAGACCGACGAAAAAUGUUAAUUGGAGACAAUGCUCUGCAUCUGGUGGGAUCAGUAGGGUGUGAUCUAUUAUGAGCUACUCAAAACUGGCGAAACUGACUCGGCGCUACCAAGAACAAUUAGUGAUCGAUUCAAAUCAAGC